GGUUUGGGGGAUCCCCUGCUAAUUGGGUGUCCAGAUUGCCUGGUCUGGUUACCUGGGGUAGAAGCCCCGCCCCUUGGGGGUAUAGUAGUAGAGAGCCGGGAGUGUAGGGGAGAGUGUCUUCCUGCGCUGGUGGUCCUUGGAGAAGAGGAUCCCUACCCCGAAUGUGAGGCCAAUGAGAAUUGUCUCUAGAAUGCAGCAAACCAUGAGGUGGCAGUUCCAAGUUCACUGAAGCAAUGAGCAAUUUUCUCAGCAUCUUCUUCUACCAGGACCUGCUUCUACCACAGAACCUACUUCUACCAGGAGUAGAAUCCAUCUCAAGAAACCACUUUCUUGGAGAAGUUCCCUGGAGGCCUAGUGUUUAGGAUUCAGUGCUUUCACUGCGGAGGCCCGGAUUUGACCCCUGGUCAGAGAACCAUUACACAUGCUGCACAGAGUGGCCAAAAUACAAAAAAAAAAAAAAAAAAAAAAAAGAAACCACUUUCUUUGCUCAUCCAUAAGAAGCAACUCCUCAUCUGUUCAAGUUUUUUUUCAUGAGAUUGCAACAAUUCAGUCACAUCUUCAGGCUCUAAUUCUAAUCCUAGUUCUCUUACUAUUUUCACCACAUCUGCAGUUACUUUCUGCACUGAAGUC